UUAGAGGAAGGAGAAGUCGUAACAAGGUUUCCGUAGGUGAACCUGCGGAAGGAUCAUUGUCGAUGCCUUGCAAACAAGUGAGACCCGCGAACAAGUUGUGAUAUACUCGGGCAACUGGCGUGGACUUUCUACGUUGGAUGCCCAUGGUGCCGGGGUUGGCUUCUUGGGAAAGGGGCCUUUGCCGGUGCCGCAACAAAACCACGGCGCCGAACGCGCCAAGGAACAACAAAACAUGUUGAGCGUGCACCCGUUUGGGUUGUGUCGCAACAAACGAGUCAAAAAUGACUCUCGGCAACGGAUAUCUCGGCUCUUGCAUCGAUGAAGAACGUAGCGAAAUGCGAUACUUGGUGUGAAUUGCAGAAUCCCGUGAACCAUCGAGUCUUUGAACGCAAGUUGCGCCCGAAGCCAUUAGGCCGAGGGCACGCCUGCCUGGGUGUCACUAACCGUAUCCCCCAAAACCCCAACGCCUAAGCGUGUUGGAGUGGGGCAAAUGCUGGCCUCCCGCGGGAUGUAGCCCCGCGGUUGGUUGAAAGUUGGGUUUGUGGCAGAGCAUGGCCGCGUGAUGUAUGGUGGUUGAGCGCAAUCGCGAGGCCAGUUGCGUGCGUCCCUCUGUCGCAGGCGUACCCCGUGACCCUAGAGUGCCAUAAGCACUCGUGAUGCGACCUCAGGUCAGGC
rnacentral:rRNA from 1 species